GUCCCGUCUUCCUCGUCUGCAACAAGGUCAGCCAAGAUGAUGGACGAAGAAGCCACGAAGCGUUACGUUCGGCCCAUUGAUGACGAGCUGCAACAGAACCCAGCUGAGGGACGGAGUAAAGUUCAGGAUAACCAGGAAGAGAGAGAGAUCAUCAUUCUUCCUCGCAGGAGGACAGAUGAAGCAGAAGACAAGGUG